GAUGAACGCUGGCGGCGUGCCUAAUACAUGCAAGUCGAGCGGAAGGACGCGACGCUUGCUUCUCUGAUGUUAGCGGAGGACGGGUGUGUCACGCGUGUAUACCCUCCCUAUCAGACUGGGAUCACCUCGGGACUCCGGCUAUUAUACCGUAUAAUAUUUUGCACCGCAUGGUUCAAAAGUGAAAGACGGUCUUGCUGGCUCUUAUAGCUGGAUCUGCGCUGCAUUAGCUAGUUGGUAAGGUCACGGCUUAUCAAGGCAACGAUGCAUAGCCGAACUGAGAGGGGGAUCGGCGACACGGGAACUGAGACACGGUCCAGACUCCUGCGGGAGGCAGCAGUAGGGAAUCUUCCGCAGUAGUCGAAAGCCUUACGCAGCAGGGGCGCGUGAGUGAUGGAGGUCUUCCGAUCGGAAUGCUCUGUUAUGAGGUAAGAACAGAUUUGUAAGGAACCGUGGACAUAGUGACGGUAACGAGUCAGAAAGCCACGGCUAACUACGUG
rnacentral:rRNA from 1 species